GUACUGAAACGUACAUCUGAAGGAGGAUUUAGCAGUAAGCAGGAAAUAGAGCGUCCCGCUGAAACCGGCCCUGAAGCGCGCACACACCGCCCGUCACUCUCCCCAAAGACGCCAAUCAAUUAACUAAAACCUAAUAAUUAAAAAGGGGAGGCAAGUCGUAACAUGGUAAGCGUACCGGAAGGUGCGCUUGGAAAAAU
rnacentral:rRNA from 1 species